rnacentral:rRNA from 1 species
AAAACAUGUNUUUUUGAUGAUAAUUUAAAGUCGAAUCUGCCCACUGAUUAAUAAUUAAAGGGCUGCAGUAUAUUGACUGUACAAAGGUAGCAUAAUAAUUAGUCUUUUAAUUGAAGACUUGUAUGAAAGAUUUGAUGAGAUAUAAACUGUCUCUUUUUUAAAAUUAAAAUUUAAUUUUUUAGUAAAAAAGCUAAAAUAAAUUUAAAAGACGAGAAGACCCUAUAGAGUUUUAUAAUUGAAUUAUUUAAAAAUUUAUUUUUAAUUUAAAAAAUAAUUAGUUUAAUUAUUUUAUUGGGGUGAUAAAAAAAUUAAAAUAACUUUUUUUUUUAUUUUAAACAUUAAUUAAUGAAUAAUUGAUCCAUAAUUUAUGAUUAUAAGAAAAAAUUACCUUAGGGAUAACAGCGUAAUUUUUUUUUUUAGUUCUUAUAAGAAAAAAAGUUUGCGACCUCGAUGUUGGAUUAAGAUAAAAUUUAAAUGCAGAAGUUUAAAGUUUUGAUCUGUUCGAUCAUUAAAAUCUUACAUGAUCU